UACGUAGGUGGCAAGCGUUGUCCGGAAUUAUUGGGCGUAAAGCGCGCGCAGGCGGUCCUUUAAGUCUGAUGUGAAAGCCCACGGCUCAACCGUGGAGGGUCAUUGGAAACUGGGGGACUUGAGUGCAGAAGAGGAGAGUGGAAUUCCACGUGUAGCGGUGAAAUGCGUAGAGAUGUGGAGGAACACCAGUGGCGAAGGCGGCUCUCUGGUCUGUAACUGACGCUGAGGCGCGAAAGCGUGGGGAGCAAACAGG
rnacentral:rRNA from 1 species